CUGCCCCCGCGCAAGGGGGGCUUCCUGGGGGGGGCUGGGGGCGGCUUCAGCCUCUGGUGAGGGGGGGCCGGGUUUGGGGGGCCCCCCUGCCCAUCAGCACCUUCCCCCAGAAACAUCUCUCCUGUCCUGGGAAUUUUUUAACCCACUCUUGAGUAAUCUUGGAUUGUUUGCACUUCAGCUCUAAUUAAAGCCAUGACCGGUGCCAGGGCCCUGCUGCAGCUCCCGUGGGAUUCUCCCGUUCCAGCUAGAACCAGGUUUAACCGAUGCUUAAUUAGCAAAUGCUUGAUUUUAACUCAAACCUGGUGUUUUUGCACCCAAAUUCCUUAAAUCCGAGAGGCUGGUUGCCAUCUGUCCUGGGUGUGUGGGAACUGUCAGUGAGCACACAAAUCCCUCGGAUCAUGGGCUCGCUUUGGGGGGUUAUCAAUGGCUUUAUCAAUGAGGUGUUUAUUGGUGGCUUUAUGAAUGAAUUUUAUGAAUGGGAUGUUUGUAGGUGGAUUUUUAUGAAUGGGGUGUUCGGAAAUGAGUUGUGAAUGGGUUUAUCGAUGUGUUUAUCAGUGACUCAUGCCUGCAUUGAUAACCAAACUCCACAAGCUUUCGAGGAACGUUUCAGGGAUCCUCAAUCGGGUGUUUUUCUUCUUUUUGGUUGUUAUUUGAUGAAGAAAGAGCUCAGAUUCAACUCUAUUUUAUUGUAAUAUUUCAUUUUAAUCUGAAUCCAUGUCCUGUGUGUGUGACCAUCCCUGACUGUUCCCCAGCUCGGCUCUCGGACUCUCUGUGCUGCACUGAACUUGUGGAGUUUUUAUACUAAAAACCAAAAAUAAAAUAAAGAUUAUUUUGAAAAUUUAAA